rnacentral:rRNA from 1 species
UACGUAGGGUGCAAGCGUUGUCCGGAAUUAUUGGGCGUAAAGAGCUCGUAGGCGGUCUGUCGCGUCGGAUGUGAAAAUCCAGGGCUCAACCCUGGACCUGCAUUCGAUACGGGCAGACUAGAGUUCGGCAGGGGAGACUGGAAUUCCUGGUGUCAGCGGUGAAAUGCGCAGAUAUCAGGAGGAACACCGGUGGCGAAGGCGGCAUCCUGGACCAAUUCUGACGCUGAGGAGCGAAAGCUAGGGGAGCAAACGGG